ensembl:lncRNA
AUGUUCUGCAAAGCCCGUCCCAGCGGCUUGAAGAGCUGAGAUGAGCCCGUGCCUGUGCUGAAGACCAGGUGCAGGUGCUUCCUGACACCUCCAGGAGGAGCCUACUUGGAGGCCGUUACAGACAGUUGGUGCCAGAGCAUUACAUCAUUCCAACCGGAAUCUCACCUCCUUGCUUGCUGUUGUGCUGUGUGGCUUACCUGGUAGUGGGGAGACAAAAGGAGAGGAAGAAAACACACUGCAGGUUACGAAAUAGGAGACCAAGUGAGUUAGCCACAAGAAAAUUCAAAUGCUCAAUGGAUGACAAAGCAAGGCUGAAGUAUGGGAGUGUGAAGAGUUUGUUUCCUGACCAGCUUCAUUCAGGUACUCCCAGCUCUGAUAAAUGUACCUUUAGUGUCAGGAGCAGAGAUUAAAGGCAACAGGAGCCUGGCCAAGGUCACAAGUCCUUACAGUAAAUAAGUGGUCUGUUUAAGUAAACUUAUUAAAUUGUGGCCACAGAAGAACAGAGACCAGACAGAGUUAGCAACUCUAAUGUUCCAAUUCUAAGUUUGCUAUUAAGUGUGCAGCUUUAUUGUGCAGCUUUUUUCUUAUCCAUAAAUCAGAGUCCUGCUAUUUAGUUAUCAAUUACUAAGAGUUUUAAUGAGGAUAAAAUAGUAAAUACUUUAAUGUAUUACUAUGGCAUAACAAAGCCAAGAGCUUAACCUCAUAUUCCCUACAGAAAUGAUGCAACCUAACGUGCAGUGCCCUGCUGCAUAACAGAGUGGUCAAAUCAAGAGGAUCACUUAGGUUGCCGUGCUGUCUUGUCAGAAUUAAAUAAUGUUAUUUCAUAUGGCAGUACUGCUGCAAGCCUUACGUUUUGUGCUACACACUGACCAGAAACAAACCUCCUCCCAGGUUUCCCAAUCCUUUGCUGAUUUUCGAGUUCAUGGAAUGAUGUAACACAACACGUGUGUGUGAUGAUUAUGUGUAUUUGGUCCUUUUGAGUUCUUGUGGUUGUCUUUUAGAUUUAUGUAAUACGUUGUGUUUUUUUUUUUUUAACCCGUGACCUUGAAAUUAUGAACAAUCUCCACGUUAGUAUGACAGAGGUACAAAUGGCAUUAUUAUAUAGCUUUGGUCUUGUUUGAAUGUUAUUAAUAUGCAAGGGUAAAAUCAAUUAGUAAAACACCAUUUUUGAAAUGUAAUUUAUUAACGCUGUGUAAGAGUACUCUUCGGUUGACUAGCUUUAAGACAGAGAUAAUAUAAUAGCAUUGUGGCUACUUCAGUCAGGGCUUGCUUCUUCUCUCCUUGGACUAAAAGGCAACAUUUUCUCAUUAACUACAACAUGAACAGAAUUGGACUGUGGUAAGCAGCUGUUUUGGUUCAGUAAUCACCCAUUGUUUCAUUCCCACAUUUUUAUCACCAUCUCAGUGGGAAGACUAAAUUUAAGUAGGAUGCUUUUAUAGAUAGUAUAGGUUUUUAAUAUCAAAGUAUGUUAAUGAGAAAGAAGAGUGGUUGGACCCAAAUUAUGGCAUCUAAGGAGUACAGUAAACAUUAUAACCUAAUUUAAAAUACCCUAGAGAUGAUUCAGUUUCCCUGGUCUAUUAGCAUCCAUUCAUGUCUGUUAUCAUUAAUAAUGAAUUGUAUGACUAAACCAGUGGAGAAAAAAAGUAAGAAUCUGAUGCCAUUUUUCCUUCAUCAUGAAAACUAGGAAAAGUAGAUGGGAUUUUUUAAAGACUAUAUUAAUAGCUACAGCUUUCAUAUAAACAACUGUGGAUCUCUAACAGGCUCUUUACAGGGGAAGUAGAAGAUAUUCUUGGCCAGAACUACCACUUAAAAUUGCUUGUGCAACAGGAAUGAUGAAAAAUCGUUGGCUUGAGGCUCAGCCAUGGUUAUGAAAAUUAGUUGACCUUGAUUUUUUGGGCCAGUGUUUUAAAUUUUUGUGAUUCAGAUGGUGUGAAAAAUCCCAGUUACUUGUAGUAGUAAAGGACAAGAUCAGUUCAGGUGGCUUCUGGGUGUGCAAUCUAGUGUAACCAAGGAGAAGAGCACUGAAAGGAAAUAUGGUUCUUUCCUGUGGCAUUAUUGUAGUUUAUUUAUAUAUUUAUGCUGGCGUAAUGAAAGCAAUAACAUUUUUACUGUGAACAGUAACUUGGGAUGCCAAGAUACCAACCCAGGUUAGGGUUAUAUUUAUGUUUAUAAUAUAUAGACUGAAAAAAAAGAAGUAUUACCUCUUGGAAUAAUGUUUGGGUUAAAGAUGGUUUGGUAUCUUUUACACAAUCUUGCCUGCAUGCCUCUCUAAGUAGAUCAAAUAUUUAUCUGUAAUACUCCUAGAAGGCCUAGGUACACUUUCUUGUGGAAUAUUAUGGGGGGAAAAAAAGGAUACAUGCAGCCUCCACAGGUUCAUCCAGUUACCUGUCCUCAGCAUGGGCACUAGGAUAUCAAUGUGGAUCCAUUGCGCUGGGGCCUUUCUCAGACCUUGUAAGGCAGGGUGAACUUCAUCCUUGCAAGAUUAAGAACCGAAACAGAUUCCCUAGGUAGAGAAAAUUAACUUAAUGGUUAUAAAGACGUCAGACUGAUGACACCAGAGAAUGAAGUUCAGAAUGUCCUCCUCUGCCUUGCCAGAAUAAUUAGAGAACAGUUCAUUCACAUCCUCUGUUGAUUUUGCAAAAAUACCAGUUGUGUGACUGGAUUUCUGCAAUAGAGAAGCCCACCAAUUCUUCACACAGGUUACCUAAAAGCCAGUGUGUGGUAACAUCGUCAAUACAGACUUUGUUUGACUUUUGGCUAAAGAAGGUAGUUGCUACUGGCUCCAUGUUUCAUUUCCUAAAUGUAAAGUUAUAGGAAAUUUUUGUGCCUACUUUUUUUGCUGGCUUUGAUUCUUUGCCCUUUACUGCUAAAGAUUUUUAGUUCACCUUCAAAGCGACAAGCUCAGACAUGAACAUCUUGACUUUUAUCAGUUUAGGUCAAAUCAUGAGCAGAUUUUUUUUGAUUAAAAAUGCUCAGUUUUCCAUCCUUCUGCUCCAUAUAAAUAAAAUUGCCUGAAAAUAUCUGCCA